UAGGGCUACGUUGUCGAUUAUUGGCUAAAGCGCUGUAGGCGUUCGUAGUCCGCUGUGAAAGUCGAGGCUCAACCUCGAUGNNNNGAUACUGUCGGCUAGAGUACGGAAGAGGCGUGUGGAAUUCCUGGUGUAGCGGUGAAAUGCGCAGAUAUCAGGAGGAACACCCAAUUUGCGAAGGCAGCUCGCUGGGACGUUACUGACGACUGAGACGCGUCAAGCGUUGGGAGCAAACAGGAUUAGAUACCCUGGUAGUCCACGCCGUAAACGAUGGGCACUAGGUGUGGGGGGUGUCGACUCCCUCCGUGCCGAMKAACGCAUUAAGUGCCC
rnacentral:rRNA from 1 species